UUGACCUCAAAUCAGGUAGGACUACCCGCUGAACUUAAGCAUAUCAAUAAGCGGAGGAAAAGAAACUAACAAGGAUUCCCCUAGUAACUGCGAGUGAAGCGGGAAAAGCUCAAAUUUGAAAUCUGGUAGUCUUUGGCUGCCCGAGUUGUAAUCUAGAGAAGCAUUAUCUGCGCUGGACUGUGUAUAAGUGUCCUGGAAUAGACCAUCAUAGAGGGUGACAAUCCCGUCUUUGACACAGACUCCCAGUGCUUUGUGAUGUGCUCUCAAAGAGUCGAGUUGUUUGGGAAUGCAGCUCUAAAUGGGUGGUAAGUUCCAUCUAAAGCUAAAUAUUGGCGAGAGACCGAUAGCGAACAAGUACCGUGAGGGAAAGAUGAAAAGAACUUUGUAAAGAGAGUUAAACAGUACGUGAAAUUGCUGAAAGGGAAACGCUUGAAGUCAGUCGCGUUGGCUGGGGAUCAACCAUUGCUUUUGCUUGGCUUACUUCCCAGUUGACGGGUCAGCAUCAGUUUUGACCAGUGGAUAAAGGCUAGGGGAAUGUGGCACCUCCGGGUGUGUUAUAGCCCUUGGUCAUAUACAUUGAUUGGGACUGAGGAACUCAGCACUUUAAGUGCUUAGGAUGCUGGCAUAAUGGCUUUAAGCGACCCGUCUUG
rnacentral:rRNA from 1 species